rnacentral:rRNA from 1 species
CAGUCGCCGCGGGAAUACGUAGGGUGCAAGCGUUAAUCGGAAUUACUGGGCGUAAAGCGUGCGCAGGCGGUUCGCUAAGACAGAUGUGAAAUCCCCGGGCUUAACCCGGGAACUGCAGUUGUGACUGGCGGGCUAGAGUAUGGCAGAGGGGGGUAGAAUUCCACGUGUAGCAGUGAAAUGCGUAGAGAUGUGGAGGAAUACCGAUGGCGAAGGCAGCCCCCUGGGCCAAUACUGACGCACAUGCACGAAAGCGUGGGGAGCAAACAGGAUUAGAUACCCCUGUAGUCCCUGUCUCUUAUAU